rnacentral:rRNA from 1 species
CAGUAGCCGCGGUAAUACGGAGGGUGCAAGCGUUAAUCGGAAUUACUGGGCGUAAAGCGCACGCAGGCGGUCUGUCAAGUCAGAUGUGAAAUCCCCGGGCUUAACCUGGGAACUGCAUUUGAAACUGGCAGGCUAGAGUCUUGUAGAGGGGGGUAGAAUUCCAGGUGUAGCGGUGAAAUGCGUAGAGAUCUGGAGGAAUACCGGUGGUGAAGGCGGCCCCCUGGACAAAGACUGACGCUCAGGUGCGAAAGCGUGGGGAGCAAACAGGAUUAGAUACCCCUGUAGUCCCUGUCUCUUAUAC